GGCCUCCUGGUACUUACUGCAGGCUGUGUUCUUAUACUGACUGUAUUGAAAGAGGAGGCAGAGCAGGCCCUCCCCAUGUACAACUCAGCUCCGUCCGUGUCGUGCCUGGGCUAUAUUGUGAUUAGGGGGACAAGG